rnacentral:lncRNA from 1 species
GGUGACUGUGCUGAGCAAGGCGCAGAAGGAUGCCAGCUGCAGAGAGAGCCCUGCCCAUGUUGCUAUGCUCAUCGCGGAACACCUGCAGUCACGUGACCUCAUGCCCUUCAGCUUCACCUUGUUGGUGGGCCUGCUGGAGAAGGGGGAGUGUGCUGAGCAGCUGGCGGGCGUCAUGGAGGCGGUGCUGAGACAGCAAAAAUCAGAGCUACA